UAGGGCGCUCACACUUGAAGGAAGUUGCACGCCAAAUGCAAAACCUCCGGCGAACUAGAUUUCUUUGCACUUUUUAUUAUUUUUAAGGAAAGCAGGAGGUGGCAGGCCUAAAAGCAAGUUGCAAGCGAAAUAGUCCAGUGAAUCACUUUAAAAUGGGAGAGGACUCAUUGUUUCAGAUUAACAAUCACCAUUGAAAACACUUAAAGUGGAGCAAAAGUGAUAGUGCAAUGGGUGGCCUGACAAUUCCAGCAGAGGAGUGGCAAUUCAUGAGUGCUGGAGCCGGAUGCACCUGCUUGGGGAGCUGAUUGCUAAGUUUUCAGGAAUUCUGUAAGUCAUUUGUUCAUCAUGGCCAAGAUUCAAAACUAAACCAUUUAGAAACUUACAAUUAAACAAAAUACUUAAAAAACCAAGGUAAUAAAUGCUCAAAACUUUACUUCUUAAUUGCUUUACCAUUAUCUAUGCUUUAAAGUUGUUUCUGUCCAUCCUUUAUAAUGCAUAUCCCAUAUAAUGGUGUGAUACAACAUCUCUUCCCAACUCUGCAUUCAGAAAUGUUAUCUCAGUAGUUUGAAAUCUAUCGUGAUGGAGUAUGUACACUAUAGAAAUUGGAAAACACUGCAAAUCAGAGCUUGACUUAUUGUGUUAUUGUCUAAACCUAAGAAAAUGAUAGAAGAAAAUUUAGCAAUAAAGAUUGAACGUCAAUGUGUGUUCAUUCAUGAAUAACACAAAAAACUGAUGAAAUAUUUUUCCAGUACUUGAAAACUACUAUCUGAUCAACAGAGAAGCACUCACAAUCAUUGCCAA